GAUGAACGCUGGCGGCGUGCCUAAUACAUGCAAGUCGAACGAGGUGCUUUUGUAGCAAUACGAGAGUAUCCUAGUGGCGAACGGGUGAGUAACGCGUUGGUGACCUACCCCAAAGUGUGGGAUAACAGUCCGAAAGGAUUGCUAAUACCGCAUGUGGUCUUCGGAUUUAGAAACUGAUGACUAAAGGAGCAAUUCGCUUUGGGAGGGACCUGCGUCCCAUCAGCUAGUUGGUGAGGUAAUGGCUCACCAAGGCUACGACGGGUAGGGGACCUGAGAGGGUGACCCCCCACAAUGGAACUGAAACACGGUCCAUACACCUACGGGUGGCAGCAGUAGGGAAUAUUGCACAAUGGGCGAAAGCCUGAUGCAGCAACGCCGCGUGUGCGAUGAAGGCCUUCGGGUCGUAAAGCACUUUUCUGGGAGAUGAGCAAGGACAGUAUCUCAGGAAUAAGUCUCGGCUAACUACGUGCCAGCAG
rnacentral:rRNA from 1 species